rnacentral:ncRNA from 1 species
CAGAGGUUUGGUCCUGGCCUURUAAUUAAUUGGAGGUAAGAUUACACAUGCAAAUGUCCAUAGCCCGGUGUAGGAUCCCUUAAUCGUUUAACACAAAACUUAAGGAGAAGGUAUCAAGCACAUAAAAUAGCUUAAGACACCUUGCAUAGCCACACCCCCACGGGAUUCAGCAGUGAUAGAGAUUAAGCAAUGAACGAAAGUUUGACUAAGCUAUACCUCUUAGGGUUGGUAAAUUUCGUGCCAGCCACCGCGGUCAUACGAUUAACCCAAAUUAAUUAUCUCCGGCGUAAAACGUGGUAACUAUAACUAGACAAAUAGAAUUAAAAUCCAACAAAUAUGUGAAAAUUCAUUGUUAGGGACUAAAAACAGUAACGAAAGUAAUUCUAACUUUACCUACACGAUAGCUAAGACCCAAACUGGGAUUAGAUACCCCACUAUGYUUAGCCCUAAACUUAAAUAAUUACAAAACAAAAUUAUUUGCCAGAGGACUACUGGCCACCGCUUAAAACUCAAAGGACUUGGCGGUACUUUAUCCAUCUAGAGGAGCCUGUUCUAUAAUCGAUAAACCCCGCUAUACCUCACCAUCUCUUGCUAAUUCAGCCUAUAUACCGCCAUCUUCAGCAAACCCUAGAAGGCAUUAAAGUAAGCGCAAUGACAAACAUAAAUACGUUAGGUCAAGGUGUAGCCAAUGAGAUGGGAAGAAAUGGGCUACAUUUUCUUUCAAAAGAACAUCAACGAAACCCUUUAUGAAACUAAAGGACAAAGGAGGAUUUAGUAGUAAAUUAAGAAUAGAGUGCUUAAUUGAAUUGAGCAAUGAAGUACGUACACACCGCCCGUCACCCUCCUCAAACUAAACAUACAAAACGAUACAUAAUUAUUUGACAUAGUUUACUAGAGGAGACAAGUCGUAACAAGGUAAGCGUACUGGAAAGUGUGCUUGGAACAAC